rnacentral:lncRNA from 1 species
UCAUCUCUUUGGAUGUGAUGGUCAAUAGUAACCUAAUAUUGAUUAGUACUGUUGGAUUAUUUGAGAUAUUGGAGGAGACUAAUGUCAACUAAUUUCAACUCCUAUCUCAAGAAUUCCAAUUAAGUUAUUAGACUGAUAUAGAAUUAAUCUAAUGAUGAUAUCAUAUGGAAAUAGUAGCCUAAAUAAUUAACUAACCAAUGUUCACCUUUCUUCUGAAAAAUGAAUGUUUGGUUUAGAAAUCAAUUGAUUUUGUUUAUGUUCGAAG